GCAUCGAUGAAGAACGCAGCGAAAUGCGAUAAGUAAUGUGAAUUGCAGAAUUCAGUGAAUCAUCGAAUCUUUGAACGCACAUUGCGCCCAUUAGUAUUCUAGUGGGCAUGCCUGUUCGAGCGUCAUUUCAACCCUUAAGCCUAGCUUAGUGUUGGGAGACUGCCUAAUACGCAGCUCCUCAAAACCAGUGGCGGAGUCUGUUCGUGCUCUGAGCGUAGUAAUUUUUUAUCUCGCUUCUGCAAGCCGGCCAGACGACAGCCAUAAACCGCACCCUCUCGGGGGGCACUUUUUUAAUGGUUGACCUCGGAUCAGGUAGGAAUACCCGCUGAACUUAAGCAUAUCAAUAAGCGGAGGA
rnacentral:rRNA from 1 species